AGCAGCCGCGGUAAUUCCAGCUCCAAUAGCGUAUAUUAAAGUUGUUGCAGUUAAAAAGCUCGUAGUUGAAUUUCGGGAUUGACACAUCGGUCGUGCCUUAAGGGGUAUGAACUGGUGUAGUCAAUUUCUCACCUUCUGGAGAACCGCGAUGCCCUUAAUUGGGUGUCGCGGGGAACCAGGACCUUUACUUUGAAAAAAUUAGAGUGUUUAAAGCAGGCAUUUUGCUUGAAUACAUUAGCAUGGAAUAAUAAAAUAGGACGGCAUGAUUCUAUUUUGUUGGUUUCUAGGAUCACCGUAAUGAUUAAUAGGGAUAGUUGGGGGCAUUAGUAUUCAAUUGUCAGAGGUGAAAUUCUUGGAUUUAUUGAAGACUAACUACUGCGAAAGCAUUUGCCAAGGAUGUUUUCAUUAAUCAAGAACGAAAGUUAGGGGAUCGAAGACGAUCAGAUACCGUCGUAGUCUUAACCAUAAACUAUGCCGACUAGGAAUCAGACGAUGUUAAUUUUUUAAUGACUCGUUUGGCACCUUACGG
rnacentral:rRNA from 1 species